rnacentral:rRNA from 1 species
CUGCUGCCUCCCGUAGGAGUCUGGUCCGUGUCUCAGUACCAGUGUGGGGGACCUUCCUCUCAGAACCCCUACGCAUCGUCGCCUUGGUGGGCCGUUACCCCGCCAACAAGCUAAUGCGACGCAUGACCAUCCGUAGCCGGAAUCGCUUUCCUUUAAACCCACAGAGAUGCCUCCAUGGGUUGUUACGCGGUAUUAGACGGAAUUUCUUCCGCUUAUCCCCCUGCUACGGGCAGGUUUCAUACGUGUUACUCACCCGUGCGCCGGUCGCCGGG